UACGUAGGGGGCAAGCGUUGUCCGGAUUUAUUGGGCGUAAAGAGCGUGUAGGCGGCCAGACAGGUCAGCUGUGAAAACUCGAGGCUCAACCUCGAGACGUCGGUUGAAACCGUCUGGCUAGAGUCCGGAAGAGGAGAGUGGAAUUCCCGGUGUAGCGGUGUAAAUGCGCAGAUAUCGGGAAGAACACCCGUGGCGAAGGCGGCUCUCUGGGACGGUACUGACGCUGAGACGCGAAAGCGUGGGGAGCGAACAGG
rnacentral:rRNA from 1 species